UGUUUAACUAAUAUUUAAUCCCUUUAUCAGA
rnacentral:piRNA from 1 species